UAGGGAAUAUUGCAAAAUGGGCGAAAGCCCGAUGCAGCAACGCCGCGUGGGCGAUGAAGGCCUUCGGGUCGUAAAGCCCUUUUUGAGGGGAUGAGGAAGGACAGUACCCUCAGAAUAAGCCUCGGCUAACUACGUGCCAGCAGCCGCGGUAAAACGUAGGAGGCGAGCGUUAUCCGGAUUUACUGGGCGUAAAGCGCGUGCAGGCGGAUUGGAGAGUUGGAUGUGAAAGCUCCCGGCUUAACUGGGAGAGGUCGUUCAAUACUUCCAGUCUUGAGUGCAGUAGAGGGAAGUGAAAUUCCGGGUGUAGUGGUGAAAUGCGUAGAUAUCCGGAGGAACACCAGUGGCGAAAGCGGCUUCCUGGACUGUAACUGACGCUCAGACGCGAAAGCUAGGGUAGCAAA
rnacentral:rRNA from 1 species